UAGGGAAUCUUCCACAAUGGGCGCAAGCCUGAUGGAGCAACACCGCGUGAGUGAAGAAGGGUUUCGGCUCGUAAAGCUCUGUUGUUAAAGAAGAACACGUAUGAGAGUAACUGUUCAUACGUUGACGGUAUUUAACCAGAAAGUCACGGCUAACUACGUGCCAGCAGCCGCGGUAAUACGUAGGUGGCAAGCGUUAUCCGGAUUUAUUGGGCGUAAAGAGAGUGCAGGCGGUUUUCUAAGUCUGAUGUGAAAGCCUUCGGCUUAACCGGAGAAGUGCAUCGGAAACCGGAUAACUUGAGUUCAGAAGAGGGUAGUGGAACUCCAUGUGUAGCGGUGGAAUGCGUAGAUAUAUGGAAGAACACCCGUGGCGAAGGCGGCUACCUGGUCUGCAACUGACGCUGAGACUCGAAAGCAUGGGUAGCGAACAGG
rnacentral:rRNA from 1 species